rnacentral:rRNA from 1 species
GCAAGUCGAACGGAGAGGCCUCUAGCUUGCUAGAGGUACUCGAGUGGCGAACGGGUGAGUAACACGUGGGUGAUCUGCCCUGCACUGUGGGAUAAGCCUGGGAAACUGGGUCUAAUACCAUAUAGGACCGCAUCUUGGAUGGUGUGGUGGAAAGCUUUUGCGGUGUGGGAUGAGCCUGCGGCCUAUCAGCUUGUUGGUGGGGUAAUGGCCUACCAAGGCGGCGACGGGUAUCCGGCCUGAGAGGGUGUACGGACACAUUGGGACUGAGAUACGGCCCAGACUCCUACGGGAGGCAGCAGUGGGGAAUAUUGCACAAUGGGCGCAAGCCUGAUGCAGCGACGCCGCGUGGGGGAUGAAGGCCUUCGGGUUGUAAACUCCUUUCGCUAUCGACGAAGCCACUUGUGGUGACGGUAGGUAGAUAAGAAGCACCGGCUAACUACGUGCCAGCAGCCGCGGUAAUACGUAGGGUGCAAGCGUUGUCCGGAAUUACUGGGCGUAAAGAGCUCGUAGGUGGUUUGUCGCGUCGUCUGUGAAAUCCCGGGGCUUAACUUCGGGCGUGCAGGCGAUACGGGCAUAACUUGAGUGCUGUAGGGGAGACUGGAAUUCCUGGUGUAGCGGUGAAAUGCGCAGAUAUCAGGAGGAACACCGAUGGCGAAGGCAGGUCUCUGGGCAGUUACUGACGCUGAGGAGCGAAAGCAUGGGUAGCGAACAGGAUUAGAUACCCUGGUAGUCCAUGCCGUAAACGGUGGGCGCUAGGUGUAGGGGGCUUCCACGUCUUCUGUGCCGUAGCUAACGCAUUAAGCGCCCCGCCUGGGGAGUACGGCCGCAAGGCUAAAACUCAAAGGAAUUGACGGGGGCCCGCACAAGCGGCGGGCAUGUGGAUUAAUUCGAUGCAACGCGAAGAACCUUUACCUGGGCUUGACAUAUACAGGAUCGGGCUAAGAUAAUCUUUCCCUUGUGGUCUGUAUACAGGUGGUGCAUGGUGUCGUCAGCUUCGUGUCGUGAGAUGUUGGGUUAAUCCCGCA